rnacentral:tRNA from 1 species
GUCCUCCUAGCUCAAAGGAUAGAGCGUAGGCCUCCGAAGCCUGAGAUACAGGUUCAAUUCCUGUGGAGGACA